UGGCUCCCCAAAUCAACACAGACUGUGGAAACUUCACACUGGACUUCAAGCAUCUUGCAGUGUGUGUCUCUCCAUUCUUCCUCCAGACCCUGGGUCAUUGGUUUCCAAAUGAGAUGCAAAAGUUGCUCUCAUCAGAAAAGAGGACUUUGGACCACUGAGCAACAGACCAGGUCUGUUUUUCUUUAGCCCAGGUAAGACGCUUCUGACGUUUGUUGUUCAGGAGUGGCUUGACAAGAGGAAUACGAC
rnacentral:lncRNA from 1 species